rnacentral:piRNA from 1 species
UGCCAAUCCUGCUUUUUUUAA